UACAGAGACUGCAAGCGUUAUUCGGAUUCACUGGGCGUAAAGGGUGCGCAGGCGGCCAAGUGUGUCAGGUGUGAAAUCCCGAGGCUUAACCUCGGAACUGCGCCUGAAACUACUUGGCUAGAGUACUGGAGAGGGUAACGGAAUUCACGGUGUAGCAGUGAAAUGCGUAGAUAUCGUGAGGAACACCAGAGGCGAAGGCGGUUACCUGGACAGUUACUUACGCUCAGGCACGAAAGCGUGGGGAGCAAAAGGG
rnacentral:rRNA from 1 species